CUCAGACGGGAGAGACGCGCCGCUCGCGCUCUCGGCCACACUGUGACCCUCCCAAGCCAACUCUCCUAGUGGAUAUCUUGCAUUUCCGUGUCGACGGGAAGAGGAAUCCCAAAAUAACUUUCGUGUCAAACUAUGGCGUAAAAAGAAUAAGAUCCAGUAAUUCAGAGAGAUUGGAUAAUAUCAAAAUAACAGAACCAAAACAACAAGAAAAUAGCAAGAAAUAAGUGCAGAAAAUCUGAAUCAGACACGCUCCAAGAGGUCAGCAAAAUGACCUUGACGACCCUGUCUUGACCCCGAGAGUGACGAAGAAGCACAGACUUACUUCCCGCCAGGUUAAGUCGUGAGGGAUACUGUGCUUAAAGUUUUCCCUCUGCAUUUUCGGCUGCUCACCACUUUUAUUAACAUUUAGCUGGAGACCUUGGCCUUGGCUGGCUCCUCCAGAGAGCACUGGUGCCGUGCCGUUGCCAGACUGUCCAUCACGGCGGCUCGUGUGGGCUUUAAUCCGAAUGGCUCUGCCGGGGUCGCCGCCAGGGCGUGUAUGUUGGCGCGUGUGAAUUCA